GGCCAUUCUGUCAAAAAAAUCAAGCAGCACAGGAGGGAAGACGGGAUGAGAAGAGGGGAAGAAGAGGAGGAGGCGGCUGCGCUUCUCUGGAGAGCAGGGCGCGGCGGCGGGGCUGCGCUGAGGAGAAAGCGCGCGAUCACUUUCCGAGAGUCAUCCGGGAUGAGUGGCAAAAACACCAAAAACAGUCAAUCCAGCGAGAAGUUCAGUCAAAAAUAUAUUCCAAAAACUACUCUGUUAAUUGUAACUCAGGAUAGGAGAGAGUCUGUGCGCUCCCCGCGAUGGGAAAGCAGAACGCAACAGUGGCUCCUCAUGCGACAGGAUCAACACACCUCUCCCUCCCACCAACAGGCGCAAUUCCAAAUACUACCAAUAUCUCCAAAAUCAUACCCCAGUUACCCCUCCUAAGUAGAUCGGUAACUUUAAAAAGCAUUAAAUGAGGAUCCCUAAA